rnacentral:rRNA from 1 species
GACGAACGCUGGCGGCGCGCCUAACACAUGCAAGUCGAGCGGAGUUAUUUGAAAGCUUGCUUUUGGAUAACUGAGUGGCGGACGGGUGAGUAACGCGUGAGUAACCUGCCUUAAAGAGGGGGAUAACGUCGGAAACGACUGCUAAUACCGCAUGAUACAUUUGGGCGGCAUCGCUUGAAUGUCAAAGAUUUUAUCGCUGAAAGAUGGCCUCGCGUCUGAUUAGAUAGUUGGCGGGUAACGGCCCACCAAGUCGACGAUCAGUAGCCGGACUGGGAGGUUGACCGGCCACAUUGGGACUGAGAUACGGCCCAG